rnacentral:rRNA from 1 species
AUUGAACGCUGGCGGCAGGCCUAACACAUGCAAGUCGCACGAGUGGCGGACGGGUGAGUAAUGUCUGGGAACCUGCCCGAUGGAGGGGGAUAACUACUGGAAACGGUAGCUAAUACCGCAUACCAUCGGAUGUGCCCAGAUGGGAUUCGCUAGUGGGUGGGGUAACGGCUCACCUAGGCGACGAUCCCUAGCGGGUCUGAGAGGAUGACCAGCCAGACUGGAACUGAGAAACGGUCCAGACUCCGACGGGAGGCAGCAGUGGGGAAUAUUGGACAAUGGGCGCAAGCCGGAUACAGCCAGGCGGCGGGUAUGAAGAAGGCCUUCGGGUUGUAAAGUACUUUCAGCGAGGAGGCGUUACUCGCAGAAGAAGCACCGGCUAACUCCGUGCCAGCCGCCGCGGUAAUAC